AGUGAACGCUGGCGGUAGGCCUAACACAUGCAAGUCGAACGGCAGCACAGUAAGAGCUUGCUCUUACGGGUGGCGAGUGGCGGACGGGUGAGGAAUACAUCGGAAUCUACUUUUUCGUGGGGGAUAACGUAGGGAAACUUACGCUAAUACCGCAUACGACCUACGGGUGAAAGCAGGGGAUCUUCGGACCUUGCGCGAUUGAAUGAGCCGAUGUCGGAUUAGCUAGUUGGCGGGGUAAAGGCCCACCAAGGCGACGAUCCGUAGCUGGUCUGAGAGGAUGAUCCGCCCACCGGGAGAUGGGAACCGGGCAAGACCCCUAGGGGGGGCCGGAGGGGGGAAUGUUGGACAAGGGGCGGAAGCCUGAUCCAGCCAUCCCGGGGGGGUGAAGAAGCCCUUCGGGUUGUAAAGCCUUUUUGUUGGGAAAAAAAAGCAGCAGGUUAAAACCCCGCUGUUCUGACGGAACCCAAAGAAUAAGCCCCGGCUAACUUCGG
rnacentral:rRNA from 1 species